GUAUGGAACGCCAUGACUGUCUUCUGAUGUUGAUUGUUUAAUAUGUUCGGUGCUUUAUGCAUUAUGUUCAGUAGUAUGGAUAUUAUGUUCAGUAGAUAUCCUAUUAUGUUCAGUAGUUAUUACAUUAUGUUCAGUAGUUUUUACAUUAUAUUCGGUGCUUUGGUUAUUAUGUUCAGUAGUUUCAUUAUUAUAUGCAGUGGUAUUUAAAUUAUGUUCGGUACUUCUGACGUUAUAUUCAGUACAUUUUUC
rnacentral:lncRNA from 1 species